GAUGAACGCUCGCGGAGUGCUUAACACAUGCAAGUCGAACGAACCUUCGAGGUGAGUGGCAGACGGGUGAGUAAUACAUAGGUAACCUGCCUCAUAGACUGGGAUAACAUUUCGAAAGGAAUGCUAAUACCGGAUACUCUAUACUUUCAUAAGUAAGUAUAGGAAAACUUUUGUGCUAUGAGAUGGGCCUAUGGCUGAUUAGCUUGUUGGUAAGGUAAUGGCUUACCAAGGCUACGAUCAGUAACUGGUCUGAGAGGAUGAUCAGUCACACUGGAACUGAGACACGGUCCAGACUCCUACGGGAGGCAGCAGUGAGGAAUAUUGCACAAUGGGCGAAAGCCUGAUGCAGCGACUCCGCGUGAGCGAUGACGCCUUUAGGGGUGUAAAGCUCUUUCAAUGGGAAUGAUAAUGACAGUACCCAUAGAAGAAGUCACGGCUAAUUACG
rnacentral:rRNA from 1 species